rnacentral:rRNA from 1 species
AUUGAACGCUGGCGGCAUGCUUUACACAUGCAAGUCGAACGGCAGCGCGGGGCAACCUGGCGGCGAGUGGCGAACGGGUGAGUAAUAUAUCGGAACGUACCCAGAAGUGGGGGAUAACGUAGCGAAAGUUACGCUAAUACCGCAUACGAUCUACGGAUGAAAGUGGGGGACCUUCGGGCCUCAUGCUUUUGGAGCGGCCGAUAUCUGAUUAGCUAGUUGGUGAGGUAAAGGCUCACCAAGGCGACGAUCAGUAGCUGGUCUGAGAGGACGACCAGCCACACUGGGACUGAGACACGGCCCAGACUCCUACGGGAGGCAGCAGUGGGGAAUUUUGGACAAUGGGGGGCAACCCUGAUCCAGCAAUGCCGCGUGAGUGAAGAAGGCCUCGGUUGUAAGACUCUUUGUCUAGGAGAACGGUAGAGGGCGUAAUAUACCCUUGCUAAUAGACGGUACCUGAAGAAUAAG